UCGACGCGCCCCCACUCUUACGUUGCACUGGAACGAAAAACCCCGCGCGAAACGCGAACAAAAAUAAAAGUAAGUAAAUAAGUAAAUAAGUACUUAAAUGUACUACGUGACGUUUGCUCGUCCGCGAAUCCGAUUCACACGGAAUCUUUCUAAAAGUGUUUCUAACUACUACAAUAUUCUCGUUCGUUUUCCUCGAGUUCUAUCUAUAGUUCUCUCGGAUCGACGAGACCAACGGUUUUUUGUGACUCUUUUAAACAUUCGUUUCCGACAUUUGAACCGUUUUAAAUCGAUUCGUUUAAUUCGAGUUUUACGUUAUUUACUUUCUAAAUAUGGGAGGAACUUAUUCGUUUGGAACGUUUCGUUUUUCUUCGUUCUUCAUAACCUCAACGACAACUCGGCUCCCCCUGUGUAUCGGUCCCCCUCCCUUCCUCCUCCUCCUCUCUCCCGCCGCCAUUGAAACCCCCGUUGUUCGUUUCGGCGCAUGCCUUCAAACGACCGAUAAGCAUGGUACGCCGAAGAACGUGUGUGUUUCUUUUUGUGAGACCGAUUGCCUGUGGUGCCUGCUGCCCUUCGACUUGGACUUGAGAAGAAUUUUUGUGAUUUCUACGAUCGAUUGAUAUCUAUCAAAGACAACGAGAAACAGCUGAUGCUACCCGGCGACUUGGUGACCCAUGGAUUACUCGAGGUUCUGCCAAGUCGUCGGUUUCUGAUUUUCGCCAGAGAUUCGAUAGAUCGAGUUCGACAACAACGGUAAGUAAGUACCUAAAAUCUAUUUACGUAUUUCUCGAUGUAACGAUCACCUUACAAAGGGACCAGCGAUAGAACUGGGUAUCGUGAAUACCAACGAUAAAGCAUAGCUAAGUCGACGAUUUAACGAUUUUUAUGAUAAUCUGUCUCGGCGGUUCCACACCGUCGAAAGAGAGAACUGCUUGCCGUCUCUAUCGGCCGGUAGGCUAAGAGUCUCGAUAUUUCGAGUUUAUCUAGAAAAUGGGGUGUGCAAAAUGGGCUGUCCAUCGUAAGGAACGUCGGAACCGGCUAAGACUUUUUCCCGCCCUUGCGUCUUUCUACCCUUCGAACGAAACCCUUCUCCCUCUUUCCUCUUUUUCUCUUUACGCCCCUUUCCUCUUCAUUGCUUUGUUCUUUCCUUUUUCCUCGUAUACCAUUCGAGAUACCUAGAUGUGCCUAAGCUUUCACGUAAGAAUGUCGAGUAGGUAAAUAGUUAUCUUUUACGGAUUCGAUGUAUACUUAGCGUUUGAUUCUCCGUCGGCGAAAACAGCCGAUAGGAUUAAUCAAAACUAAGACCGAUUAUUUUCGCAAGAGAUACAUUCGACCGUCUAUUAUCACUAGCAACGAAGAGUUUCAACGAGUUGAAAGUAGUCGAUAUAUAUACAUAUAUGUAGAUAUAUAUAUAGAGAUAGAGAGAGAGAGAGAUAGAGAGAGAAAGAGAGAGAGAGAUAGAUAGAAUGCAGAAAACGAACGAUUUCUCAAUACGGAGAGGAAGAAAUGAUGGAGUUGCUACACCGACGAUUCGCGAUUACGCUUCGCAGCGUGGAAAAGCAAGAAAGACGAUCAAAGAGACAGACACAUAGAGAGAAAGAGAGAUAAAGAGAGAGAUAGAGAAAAAGAGAAAUAGAGAGAAACAUAGAGAGAGAGAGAGAGAGUCUCCGAGGGAGGCAACGAGCGUCUCGCAGAGUAGUCGCCCGUCGAAAGGAGCGGACCGUCGGCUGAGCGGAUCGUGCGAGGUAUAAGCUCUCUCUAUGUAUACAUAUACGCGCGCACGCGUGUACAGAUAAUCACAUACACCCACACGAAGAGAUAGACGAAGAAACACACACAAAUAAGAAGGCAGAGCGAAGAUCGGAGAGAGGCGAACCUCGCGACGGGAGCGAGCGAGUGAGAAAGAGAAAACGUGAUAGAAGGAGAAAGAAACGGCGACCGAGAAAGACAGAGGGAGAGAGAGAGAGAGAGAAAGACAGA